rnacentral:rRNA from 1 species
GACAGAGGGUGCAAGCGUUGUUCGGAAUUACUGGGCGUAAAGGGCGCGUAGGCGGUCCGCUAAGUUCGGCGUGAAAUCCCCUGGCUCAACUGGGGAACGGCGCUGGAUACUGGUGGACUCGAGUACCGGAGAGGAGAGUGGAAUUCCUGGUGUAGCGGUGAAAUGCGUAGAUAUCAGGAGGAACACCGGUGGCGAAGGCGGCUCUCUGGAACGGUACUGACGCUGAGACGCGAAAGCGUGGGGAGCGAACAGG